rnacentral:rRNA from 1 species
UACGAAGGGGGCUAGCGUUGCUCGGAAUUACUGGGCGUAAAGGGCGCGUAGGCGGAUAGUUUAGUCAGAGGUAAAAGCCCAGGGCUCAACCUUGGAACUGCCUUUGAUACUGGCUAUCUUGAGUACGGGAGAGGUGUGUGGAACUCCGAGUGUAGAGGUGAAAUUCGUAGAUAUUCGGAGGAACACCAGUGGCGAAGGCGGCUCACUGGCUCGAUACUGACGCUGAGGUGCGAAAGCGUGGGGAGCAAACAGG